UACAGAGGUCUCAAGCGUUGUCCGGAAUUAUUGGGCGUAAAGAGCUCGUAGGCGGUCUGUCGCGUCUGCUGUGAAAAACUCGGGGGCUUAACCCCCGGGCCUGCAGUGGGGUACGGGCAGACUAGAGUGCGGUAGGGGGAGACUGGAAUUCCUGGUGUAGCGGUGAAAUGCGCAGAUAUCAGGAGGAACACCGGUGGCGAAGGCGGGUCUCUGGGCCGUAACUGACGCUGAGGAGCGAAAAGCGUGGGGGAGCGAACAGG
rnacentral:rRNA from 1 species